CCCUUAGAUGAUCUGGGCUGCACGCGCGCUACACUGUAGAAAGCAGCGUGCUUUAAAACCUUUCCUGAAAAGGAUGGGUAACCCCAGCAAAAUUCUACGUGCUUGGGAUAGAGAUUUGCAAUUUUCUCUCUUGAACGAGGAAUUCCCAGUAAGUGCGAGUCAUCAGCUCGCGUUGAUUACGUCCCUGCCCUUUGUACACACCGCCCGUCGCUACUACCGAUUGGGAAAAUUUUAGAGAGUCCUGGACUGAUGAUUGUUCGGCUUCACGGCCUUACUUUCGUCGGGAAAGAAUUCGAUAAUAUUUUUCUAGAGGAAGUAAAAGUCGUAACA
rnacentral:rRNA from 1 species